rnacentral:rRNA from 1 species
UACGUAGGGUGCGAGCGUUAAUCGGAAUUACUGGGCGUAAAGCGUGCGCAGGCGGUUUUGUAAGCCAGGGGUGAAAUCCCCGGGCUCGACCUGGGAAUGGCAUUUGGGACUGCAAGGCUGGAGUGCGGCAGAGGAGACUGGAAUUCCUGGUGUAGCAGUGAAAUGCGUAGAUAUCAGGAGGAACACCGAUGGCGAAGGCAGGUCUCUGGGCUGACACUGACGCUCAUGCACGAAAGCGUGGGGAGCAAACAGG